GAUAGGGACAAACAAUGAGGAAAAUCAUUUACAUGCAUACUGAAGAGACUGGUGAAAUGAUUCAAAGACAGCUUAUCUUUGAUGAUAAAUAACUAAAGGAAAAUAAUUUUACGAAGAAAGAUAAAGAAGCAUAGUGGAUUGCCAGGAAUGAAGUUAAGAGUAUGUAACAAGAUGGAGUCCAAGGCAGAGCAAACCCAAGGUAUGGUUUCCCAGACUGAAGUAUGUGGUUAUAUUGUGGAGUGGGACAUGACGGUAAGCAUAGAAUGGCUCAGGUUGGAAGGGGCCUUAAAGUUCAUCUAACUCCAACCCCCCAAAUCUGUGUUUUUCGACCUGAAUUACUUUUAAAAUGAUCUGUAUAAUAAUUGUUUCUUAUAAGACUGCAGCCUAUCACUUCCUUCAGUAUUAGCACCCAGAGCGUUCAGGUACAUAACAGUAGGCAUUCAUAAAGACCUGGGGCCUGCCCAGUGCCAUCAACAGAAGAAAGGUCCUUAACUGCUUGGAGAACAAAGAGGCUUUGGGUAUUCCAUUGAUGUCCAAUGGUGGACUAUGAUGCAUAGUCUGACAUCCAAGACAAAGCAAAACAAACAAACAAAAAAGUAGAGUUGCAAAUCGAGAAGGCAUGAUAAAUAUUGCCAAUUUAUAAUCAGAAGUUCAAUGGUUAGGGCAUUAUACAGUGUUAGAGAUGCCAUACUCUGCUGGAAAAGGUU